GACGAACGCUGGCGGCGUGCUUAACACAUGCAAGUCGAACGGAAAGGCCCUGCUUUUGUGGGGUGCUCGAGUGGCGAACGGGUGAGUAACACGUGAGUAACCUCCCCUUGACUUUGGGAUAACUUCAGGAAACUGGGGCUAAUCCCGGAUAGGAGCUCCUGCUGCAUGGUGGGGGUUGGAAAGUUUCGGCGGUUGGGGUUGGACUCGCGGCUUAUCAGCUUGUUGGUGGGGUAGUGGCUUACCAAGGCUUUGACGGGUAGCCGGCCUGAGAGGGUGACCGGCCACAUUGGUACUGAGAUACGGCCCAGACUCCUACGGGAGGCAGCAGUGGCGAAUAUUGCACAAUGGGCGGAAGCCUGAUGCAGCAACGCCGCGUGCGGGAUGACGGCCUUCGGGUUGUAAACCGCUUUCGCCUGUGACGAAGCGUGAGUGACGGUAAUGGGUAAAGAAGCACCGGCUAACUACGUG
rnacentral:rRNA from 1 species